rnacentral:rRNA from 1 species
GGGGUCGGGAUUCUCGACGUUUACUGUGAAAAAAUCAGAGUGUUCAACGCAGGCUUACGCCUUGAAUACAUUAGCAUGGAAUAAUGAGAUAGGACCUUGGCGGUCUAUUUUGUUGGUUUGCACGCCGAGGUAAUGAUUAAAAGGGACGGUUGGGGUUCUUCGUAUUCAAUUGUCAGAGGUGAAAUUCUUGGAUUUAUGGAAGACGAACUGCUGCGAAAGCGUCGAACAAGGACGUUCUCAUUAAUCAAGAACGAAAGUUAGGGGAUCGAAGAUGAUUAGAUACCAUCGUAGUCUUAACCAUAAACUAUGCCGAUUCAGGAUUGGCGGUCGUUUGUUCUCGACUCCGUCAGCACUGUAUGAGAAAUCAAAAUCUUUGGGUUCCGGGGGGAGUAUGGUCGCAAGGCUGAAACUUAAAGAAAUUGACGGAAGGGCACCACCAGGAGUGGAGCCUGCGGCUUAAUUUGACUCAACACGGGGAAACUUACCAGGUCCAGACAUAGUAAGG